UACAGAGGUCUCAAGCGUUGUUCGGAUUCAUUGGGCGUAAAGGGUGCGUAGGUGGCGGGGUAAGUCAGGUGUGAAAUUUCGGAGCUUAACUCCGAAACUGCAUUUGAUACUGCCUUGCUUGAGGACUGGAGAGGAGACUGGAAUUCAUGGUGUAGCAGUGAAAUGCGUAGAGAUCAUGAGGAAGACCAGUGGCGAAGGCGGGUCUCUGGGCCGUAACUGACGCUGGAGGAGCGGAAAGCAUGGGGAGCGAAACAGGAUUAG
rnacentral:rRNA from 1 species